UGGGGAAUUUUGGACAAUGGGCGAAAGCCUGAUCCAGCAAUGCCGCGUGUGUGAAGAAGGCCUUCGGGUUGUAAAGCACUUUUGUCCGGAAAGAAAUCCCUGGCUCUAAUACAGUCGGGGGAUGACGGUACCGGAAGAAUAAGCACCGGCUAACUACGUGCCAGCAGCCGCGGUAAUACGUAGGGUGCAAGCGUUAAUCGGAAUUACUGGGCGUAAAGCGUGCGCAGGCGGUUUGCUAAGACCGAUGUGAAAUCCCCGGGCUCAACCUGGGAACUGCAUUGGUGACUGGCAGGCUAGAGUAUGGCAGAGGGGGGUAGAAUUCCACGUGUAGCAGUGAAAUGCGUAGAGAUGUGGAGGAAUACCGAUGGCGAAGGCAGCCCCCUGGGCCAAUACUGACGCUCAUGCACGAAAAGCGUGGGGAGCAAAACAGGAUUAGAUACCCUGGUAGUCCACGCCCUAAAACGAUGUCAACUAGUUGUUGGGGAUUCAUUUCCUAGUAACGUAGCUAACGCGUGAAGUUGACCGCCUGGGGAGUACGUCGCAAGAUUAAAACUUAAAGGAAUUGACGGGGUCAUAGCUG
rnacentral:rRNA from 1 species